CCUUGGUCCUCUCGCGGAGCAGAAAUACCAGGGAAUCCGGUGAGAAUCCGGAACUGUCCCGCAGCGGUAUGUGAGAAAGCCAAACGACGCAAUAAUGCACUGGUGGCUCUCCCCCAACCCGGAGGAGCACUGGGAAGCAGUGUCAAUCAGGUUUCGCCGCCGGAUGAUCACCCCCCACGGUCAUCCGGAACAGCGCACCAAAUCACGCGCCAGCGGAGUGCUCACGAGUCCGAAUACCUGCUUAUC
rnacentral:ncRNA from 1 species